rnacentral:rRNA from 1 species
CGGGUGAGUAAUACAUGGGAACGUGCCUUUUGGUUGGGAAUAACCACGGGAAACUGUGGCUAAUACCGAAUGGCCUCUACGGAGUAAAGGGAGCCUCUGCUUGCAUGCUUUCGCCAAGAGAUCGGCCCAUGUCCCAUUAGCUAGUUGGCAGGGUAAAAGCCUACCAAGGCGAUGAUGGGUAGCUGGUUUGAGAGAAUGAUCAGCCACACUGGAACUGAGAUACGGUCCAGACUCC